AACGUGGAGCGGGAACAAAGGACCCCGCGGCCCACGGCGAUCCGGGACGCGGUGCCACCCCACUCCGGGCCCGAAGCACCGAUGCAGCCUGGGGCCGGCUCCCCGCCCACACGCGCCGGGUCCUGGGAGGUCCCAGGGAGGAGAGUCCAGACCUCGGUUAGACCGAGACACUAGGAGUCGGUUCCUGACAGCGGGAAAGGAGAUUCCCGCGUCCUCCUUCCGGCAGUCAUCCUUGCCCCGUGGCGCCCUGACCCAGGCCCCCGAGGAUCCCCCGGGCAAAAACUCCCGCCCUACUUCCUCUGCCCCAGCUCUCUCUGAGGCGGCCGGCACCCGCCUCGGCCGCCAACGCGACCCGGCAACCAUGGCAGCGCCAGGAGCGUCCUUCCCCGGGACCAGAACGCUGCUCCGCGCCUCGCACCGUCUCCCCAGCCGCCCGCGCCAUCCCUCUGCUCGGACUCCGGGCGCCCUCUUCCUCCUCCACCGUCUAGGUCCUGCGCGUAUUACCUGGUUCAUCUCUGAAGAGAUGGAAAAACUCAUGUCUGGAGCUUCGAUGGGGAGCAGGAGGAAGCGGGCGGGAAUCGGCCCAACGGAAAGCGCCUCGAGGCCGCGGAGGGGGGGAGCGGUCGAGCGGGAAGAAGACGAGCGGUCCGUCCGCGGAGGCUGCGAGGAGGGGGGCCGCGCCACCGAGGGUUCGCGGGGACUCGCUCGCUCGCUAGCACUGCCGCGCCGAAGCAGCAGGCGGAGAAACUGUGCCGAGCAGCUCGGAGCUCCCGACCUGCACGCGCGUCCCGGAGACACUGCCGCCGCCGCCGCCGCCCGCUCGCGCCGCACCCCCUCGCACGUCACCACGUGCGCCGCCGCCGUCGCUGCCGCCGCCGCCGCCGCCGCCGCCAGUGCCUCCCGGCAGCUUCCGGCCCGAAUCCGUCGGCGAAUCACAAGCGAGCACGAGAAAGCUCCCGCUCGGGGCCCCGCCCACCGCUCGCCCAGACUCUCCUUCGCCCCCUUGGGUUCCUUCCUGCUCGGCUCAACUAGGUCAAGGCAAGGUGAUCCCAGGGAGAGAGGCAGUGUUUAGGGCGCGCCUCCUUUUAUUUAUCGCGUUGUCGUCUCCUUCCCUAGCCUCGCACCCUCGCUUCGCCCUUUCGGACUGUGCCGGAACUGGUUUCCUCCAGCCGCCCUCACCUGUUUUGCCUCCCCCUAGAGGCACAAUAACCGGAGAUCAGACGUGGGAGAUUAGAUCUCUCGACGUCAAAUUUACAUCUAGGCAACUGCCCUAGACUGGAGCUGGCCGCCGCGGACCUUAGAGCCCGCAGUUGGCCGUGGGCCCUCACCUUUGUUGAAGGGUGCGGGGAGGGGGCGUGAGCGUUGUGAGUGAGAAGAGAGGCACGCUGGGGGAAGGGGUGAAAGUGUUCAGUAACUGAAAAAAUCAUAGGCGAGGUCAGAGAAGGCCUUCUAUUAGUGUUGCUGUAAAAACCUGUUUACUUCUCCUUUUGGUCCCCCGGAUUUCUGUUUUGUCUGAGCGCGGCUCUCCUUUCGGAGACAGUCCUUUCUUUGCUGGUCUUGCCCUCUUUGGGAAAAAGAAAAAAGCCUGGAGAAUCAGCAGUCCCUGUCCUAACCUUCUGGGGCCUCUUAGACCACAUGCCAAACUUAGUUACCCACCCUGCCUCUUUGCCCCAAGAGGCAAACCUGUUCCGGGGACACACGAGGUAUACUGGGCUCUGACGGCAACUUCAUGUGACUGAAGGGCAUGCUGGAAAGUUUCCUAGAUUAAAGGUGAGGGGAUUUGCCGAGGUAAAGUUUAGAGUUUGGCAGAGGCUUCCAGGCUAACGUCCUGUUCGAUUAUCCUGAUUUGGGGAGGGCACUUUAAGCGGUCUAGGCCCGACCUUGUUUGUAUUUGACCACUCAAGUUAGUUUAUAGACAUUUCUAGGAGCCUACCGCUCUUUAUCAUGAACUAUUUAUGCUUAUGGGAGCGGGAGAAGAUGAAUGUUGGGGCCCUUCAUCUGCAAUAGAAGCUUUACAACUUUUCUUUCUAAAAUCUUGAGGCAAAGAGUCUUGUUUUUUCACCCCUGUUCAGUUGUGGGAGGAAACAGGAACUAAGAUAUCUAUUAGUAUGACUGUUCUAUCUUGAGGAGAAAAAGACUGACAUUUGCCACUGGGCUCUUGUUUUUUGUUUUUUUUUUUUAAAGAUUUUAUUUAUUUAUUCAUGAGAGACAGAGAGAGAGGCAGAGGGAGAAGCAGGCUCCCAAGGAGCAGGGAGCCCGAUGCGGGACUCGAUCCCAGGACCCUGGGAUCAUGACCUGAGCCGAAGGCAGACGCUUAACCAUCUGAGCCACCCAGGCGCCCUGGGCUCUUGUUUUUGUCUUCUGAUAAUUAAUAACGAUAGCAGUGUUCACGUUUAUUGCAAAUGAAGCUAUUAGAGUACAUGCCUCUUAAGUUUUUUUUUUAAUAUCAUGGGCUUCAUUCUUUCAGUGAGAGAGUAUGAAUUGCCUACUUUGGAGAGGCACAUGACUGUGUGGCCUGCUGGACACAUGGUCCCUCUUGCUGUACUCUAAAUAGUGCCUUUGUGACCUGAAACAGUCAACACUUUUCUUAAAGCUACAGUGUGAUCAGUCCAUGCAUUUUUGCCUUGUAUGGAAUUUCACAUUUACAUAUUGCCUUUUCUAUAGAUAAUGGCAUAAUUAAUUAAUUCCAUUUGUCUUCUAGUCAACUCCAGACUCAAGCAUAUCUAUUCAAGUGCUAUAUAAUCCAGAUGAAAACUUGAAAAUGGAACACUGGCAAUUUUAACCUUAUAAAGUCACAAAUUAUAAGAUGUUAUUCUUAAUAUUUAACUUAGACAAGAUAUAUGUGGAGAGUGCUUAAUAAAAAUAAAAACUAUCAACUUCUAUUUUAAGUUAGGCACUGAGAAAGGUAAAUCGGGAAUUGGGGACCAUCUGUAAUCUUUCCAUUUUUCUCUCUGAUCCUGCUUCAAAUGUUCCAGUGCUAAACUCUGACUUGUGUUUUAUUCUUUAUUUAUUAGCUUGCUACGGCUUCUCUAACAAAGUACCACAAACUGGGUGGCUUAAACAACAGAAAUUUAUUGUCUCACAGUUCUGGAGGCUAGAAGUAUUAGGUCAAGGUGUCUGCAGGGCCAUGCUCCCGCCAUGGAAGUUAGGGAAGAAUCUGUUCCAGCCCUUUCUCCUGGCUGCUGGUAGUUCUUUGGCUUGCAUGUCAUUUUCCCUGUGUGCCCAUCUCUUGGGUCCGAAUUUUUGCUUUUUAUAAGGAUGCCAGUCAUAUUGGGUUAGGGGCCCAUUCUAACCAAGUAUGACCUCAUCUGAACUAAAUCUCAAUGACUAUUUCCAAAUAGGAUCACAUUUUGUUUGAGGUAUUGAAGGUUAGAACUCUAACAUAUGAAUUUUGGAGGGGACAUAAUUCAACACAUUAGUUCAGUGUUUCUCAAGUUUAGUCCACUGACCAAAACCACUUGGAUAUUCUUAUUAGAAAUGCAGUCCAUAAGCUUCACCCUAACAAGUGAUUCCCAAAGGAGGAGAGUGAUUUGUGCCCCCAGGGGACAUUUAGCAACAUCUGAAAACAGGCCCAGGGGAAGGAUGCUAUGGUAUCUAGUGGACCUGGAAUGCUGCUCAACCACCUGCAAGGCACAGGGUGUCCCCACAGCAAGAAAAUCAUCUCUUAAUAUGUUAAUAGUGCCAAGAUUGAGAAACCCUCCUGUAGAACUUCUAGAUCAGAAUCUCUGGGAAAGGGACUUGGAAAUCUACAUUUUGAUAAGCAUCCCAACAACUUGUGCCCAUGCUGAAGUUUGAAAACCACCACAGAUACAAAAACCUUUUUUAGGCAUAUGAACAUGAACCAUUUUGUUCUAGAUAUUAGUCACCCCUCUUCUUGUUUAGCCAUGUGAACUGUGAUAAGUGAAUCUAAGUAAAUAUUACUACUUAGCAAUUCACACAAUUUACAAGUCUCACCCUAACGUUAAUCUUAAACUGGAAACUUGUUUACAUUUUAAUACUUUUAUGCCAUGUUGCAUUGUUUUUGAUCGACUGUCUACGUAUUCUGGAUGUCCUUUGCCAAAUGAAAAAAACCAUUGCAAAUUUAUGGUUUGGCAAGGCAAUGCUUUGCCUCCUCCGGUCCACUAAUUUCUGUUGUACUCUUGAGUGACCGACUGACUUGUCUAUUUCAUAUAUUGCUCUCAUCCCUUGCAGUCUAUGUUUGCUGUUCCUUCCAUUUUUUUUCUCUAUUGGCAUUUGAAAAUAUUUUUGUGGUGCAUUAGUGGUGCCUUAACAGCACAAACAAGAAAAUGGUAGUGUCAUAAAAGGCACAAGAAGCACAGGGAAAAAUCCUAAAACUUCCAUUAAAAUAGGUCAUUGGAAACUGUUAUGUAUUGCAGUAUAUAACAAAUGGAGAACUUGAUGCCUUUCUAAAAAAUUGCUUUAAGUGUUCCCUUUUAGAAUCUUCCAUUUUCCUGGUAAGACUUCCAUAGAGAGUUUGCAUCAGAACAGAUUAUAUAAUCAGAAUAUUUUGAUCCUGCAUUAGCCUUGUUGACUAUUAUCUAAGCCAGCUGUUUUACUAAUGACCUUUUGCUGGUUUUCUAAAGUCAUCACUGAUAAAAUUUUGAGAACAACUCUAGCCUCCUCCUCCAGUAACCAAAACCCCCUAAUAGUUUCUUUCUCUUUCAACAAUUUCUUAGGAAUUAAAACUUCUCAUGUCAUUCAGACGUUGUUCCCGUGACAUUAUGACCUUCAAGCCUGCUACCUUUUUGGACUAUGCGGCCAACAACUGUAUAUUCAGCUCUUGAAUUCUAAUGUGUAACCUAAGCUUUACUAAGCCUUCAUGCAAAACACCUUUAAAAAAAAAAAAAUUAACUUAAUUGUUGAAAAUAAGCAAGGCAUGGAAUAAGCAGCCUUUAUACUAAGCUGAGUUUUUAAUGUAAACAUUAACAAUCAAAUGUAUAAACAAAACUGUGGUAACAUAAGCGCAAUCUAUACAGUUCAAUCCAAGAGAGAUCUUUUGUUGUGUUCACAUCCAAAACUUGAUACCUAAAUGGAUGGAAGUUACACACUAUAGUUCAGCUGGACUAGCUGCCAACUGUUGCUAGUGUAAACUGAUCACUUAACAAAUGAAGUCAAGAGACUUCUUUAGAGAAAGAAACAGACAAGACAGAACAGUGGUGUUGUAACAUCAGUUCUCCCUUUUUCUAUAAUGUGUUCUACUUUCCGGAGGAGACCAGAAUGAGGGACAAUGAGAUAAUGAUGAAAUUUUACAAGAUUCUAAUGAAUUGGGCUUUCUAAACUACUGAAGAAAGUCAUAAACUUGUUAUCUAAGGGUUCCCACCCUUGAGAGUGAUCCCUCGAGGCUCUGGUCCUCCUAAAUUGGUACCCUCAGGAACAGAACUGUCAAGUAAGAGGUUUUCGUUCUCAGUUGUCUCUUCUCUAAUGUCUUACUAGAGAGAAAAAUGUGAAAGAAAAUCUAGUGGCAAUGUGUUCUACCAAUACCCUUAAGGGCGACCAGGCCUGAGACACACUUCUCUUCCUUCUGUACUUGUGUCUUCUCACUACCUUGCUCCUAUCUAUCUUUCAAGACCCAGUUAGCACCUCGCCACUUCCAAGAAGUGGGCUAGUGUUAAUGGAAAGAGUGCUGGACUGGAAGGUCUAGGCCCAUGUCUUAACUAAUUAAGGAAAAUCUCUUGUCUUAAUAAUUGUGUUUUCUAAUAAAAUGGGAAUGAUAAUACCUGCUUCACAGAAUUAUAUACUUGGCGCAUGGUGGGUGAUAAGUAAAUAUGUGUAUAUGUAUUUAUUUAAAUGCCUCCCCCAGUUACUCCAGCAUACAUAAUUUCUCUUUCAUCUUCCUGAGCCUGGGCACAUCACUUGUAACACACACUUAAUUCACCACAGGAUACUUUUAUACUUGCAGACCUAAGAGAUGAGUGAAUUGAAUUUUUGAAUACAUAAUAGCAACUCAGAUUCUUAAGUCAGUUGCUCUUCUGCCCUCAGGUAUCUUUGAAGUGUUGGAAGAAUGAAUGUCAAAAUCACAUGUACCUUUCAUGGCUCUUUCUGUCAAAUGGAUGUUUCCAAAUAAUGAUGAAAAUUAGGAGAAGCCUAUGAACUGAAUCAUCACAGUGGGGAUCAAGGUUCUUCACAGUAUGUGUCUAUGCUGGGACUGAAUCCAUCCCUUCCUUAAUAUACCAUUCCCUUUGCACCUGCCCUUUGCACUGACUGAAGCGCCCUUCGCUUGGUUAAUUUCUACUCAUCUUCUAGGCCUCAGUGUAGAACUCACUUCCUCCAGGCAGCGUUCCCUCACUGGCCACGGCUAGGUGGGCUGUCCCCUCCCAUGAACUUACAUCGCACUCCGGGAUAUCUCUCCUCCCCAUAGCACUAAUCACAUGGUAAUGAAAAUUCCACUUGUCUGUGCCCCUUCUGUAUGCUACAUUGUGGGAGGACAGAUGCCAUCCUGUUCAUCUUUGCAACCCCAGUGCCCACCCUAGGCCAGGCAUGUAGAGAUCUUCCACACACAUCUCUAUAAAGGAAGUGGGGACUAGAUAGUGCAUCAUUCCUAUUGCCUUGGGCUUUGAAGACAUAUCAAUGUAAAGAAAGUGACUUUUGCCUGAAUUUUUUGUAGGGUGAUGAUCAAUUUGUUUUAGCUUUCAAAUUCUAACCUAAAGUAAUAUGUGAUGUUCACAAAGUAGUCAAAAGAGUACCAUGUAGGUACUUCUCUGUCACUUGUCAGAAAAAUGUCCCAGUGGGGCCAUUGCAAGCCUUUCAUGUGACCCUAUUUACCUAAUGGGGUGGCCCACAUGUCAGUGCUUGUUACUAAACAGCAAAUCAAGCACACGGAUCCUUAACAGAUUGAAUCAUCCCAUUUUCUGGAAGAUAAUGUAUCUGACAUUUUGAUAUCAGUCAAGGGAGGUGUCAUUCUAAUGUUGCACGUAUGUAAAACCUUUCCUAAUCUGCAGAGCUUGUUUCUAGGUGUCUUAAGCUCCUGCAUUACACCACAAGCUUCCUGCAUGUCUUCUUGAGGCUUUAAGAACCACAGUGUCAAGUAUGGCACCUAACACAUUGCAGGUGCUCCGGGAACAAUGAACGAAUUACAGAAUAAUAAUUUUGAGUGCUAUAGGUGCGUAUGGUCACUUUUCAUGUUAUUUCAUUCAUUCCUCAUAGCGGCUUCAGGAGGUAUUUAUUAUAUCAUUCUUGUCUUAUGAAGAAGGAAGUGGGAAUUUAGAGAUGCUGGAAGCUUACCCAAAGUUGUUAUUUGAAUGUUGGAGGCAGGAGUUCAGUCCAGGAGAGUCUGAUCUGAAGCCCACCCUGUUCCACCACCACACUCUGCCUUUCAUGACGUGCUUACUGACUCAAUUUAUUAAUAAUUUCCAUAGGAGACAAAUGUAUCAUCAGGCACAGCCAAUUCAUUGGUGGAGGGCUGGACAGGGAGGAUGUUGAUAGGUUAUAUAACUGAACUUUUGUCUUUGGAACUAGUAGAAUUAGCUAUUAAGGAUAAUCAGAAGUACAAUAUAACCAGUAAAUAGAGCUGUGAACACACUAACUUAACAUGCAGCCUUAAGAAAGGGGGUAACUCUUCUUGAUAAAAAGCGUCCAAUCUAACUUCACCCACAGGUCUUUAAGAGAAACAAGAUGAGGCAGAAAUGACUAGUUGACUAUGUCUUCCAUCCAUUCUCCUUUUUCUCCUUAGAAAUACAAUACUAAAGGUCAUGGUUCCUAACCUCCCUUGCAGCUAGUUUUGGUAAACUGAAUUUUGUGAGGCCUUCAUGGAAAUAUCCUUCAAAGGAAAGAGGAAUACCCUUCUUCCUUCUUUUUUCUGCCUGGCUGGGAUGCAAAUGUGAUGGGUUGAAAUCAAGUAGCCAUUGUGGAUCAGGAGGUGACAGGCUCAGGACUGACCAAGGUAGUGCCAUAGGAAGAGUCUAGCUUCUGCUGACCUUGGACCUGCCAUUUCUGCUCUGGACUGCCAAAUUCUGGACUUCUUCUAUGUGAAAGGGUAACAAACUGUCAUCUUGUUUAAGCCCAAAAAUGGAAGUGGAAAUAGCCAAUUUAGUGAUUUCCGUCAUUUAAAAAAGUGUCGCUUCUGUGUGUUAUUCUGUUUCUGUUCAAUUUAUUUCAUCUUACAAUCCUGCAGCUGUUUCUACUUCCUGGACCCUACACUGCACAUUAAAACUAGCAAGCAGCAAAUAUCAUUUCUGUGUCAUAGGCUGUGCGGGUAUUGAUCCUCUCUAACAAGUUCACAUUGAGUCCUUUGUAGGUGACUCUGAUUAAAGGUCAGGAAGCCACAUGUAAACCCUACAAAUAAUCUCAAGUUUUGAAUUAUACAAUUUAUAAAAUUAGGCCCUACCUCAGCUUUCCCUGAUCUGACCAUUAUCUAGUGCCACAUCAUCCCCCCCCCAAAUGGAAUAUUAUACUACUCGAUACUUAGCAAAUGUUUACUGAGUUUGCACAUAAUAAUGUGUAAAACAUUGUGUUGUAUACGGUGAAUUCACAGAUAGAUUGUAAGGGUUUUGAUUCUUUUAGAAAGUAAUCAGUUUAUUGAAUAAGGUAAACUCUGUGAGGUACACAUAGGGAACAGCUUUAUUUUUCUGUAAUCCUCAAACAUGCACUUACCUUCUCAUUCCUGCCCUGGAGAUAACCCUUCACAUAGAUCUCAUGGCUUUCCAGCCGCUUUAAUACCUGAAAAGUAAGGGUUACUUUUCUUACUUUAUUUUUUUACUUUACUUUCAGGUAUUAAAAGACAAAUACAGGUCAGUCUAAAUCCAAACAUAAUAUCUAAUUUUAUAAUCCAAUUACAUCUAAUCUCACAUAUAAUUCAAAGUUUCCCUGGCCUCCUCCAGCCCCAAGCCCAGGCCUGAGCCAAAGCUCAGGGCGCACAGCACGCAGGGUGUGGUGUGUGGUCUCUUACACUCCUCCAUUACUUUCCACCCAUGUAGUAAAUGCAACUCCAUUCUAAUCUCCGCCCUUUAUUCCUGCCACAUUCCCUCUUGCUCACUUCUCUCCAGUCCUGUUGGCUCCUUUCCACCCCAGAAAAUACUAAACAUGUUCUUGCUAAGGGCCUUCCGGUUUUCUAUUCUCUCUGCGUGGCUUUUUCCCUCACUUUUAGGUCUCAGCCCCAGUGUCCUCUUAUCAGUGAGGUCUUCCCUGAUCUCUCCAUCUCAAGCAACACACAGCCACACCCAUCACUUACUCUGCUUUGUUUUUGUCAUCUCACCAUCUGGUAAGUUACACUUCUGCUAAGAAGCAAGGCGCCUGUCUGCCCUUCUGCAGAUUCCUUCCAUCUUUAUGGGAGAGGUUGGGAGGUAACUUAACCUUUCUCUCUGUGUGAGAAAAGAAGGAAAAACAGCCCAAACACUCUCCACUCUGAAUUCCUGCUCUCCUUGAGCUUCUUCAAUGAUCUUUCACAAUUUAGCCAGGUCCUAUAAAAACUGGAAGUGAGGGUUUCAUAGAUACCGGACUGAUUUGUUUUCUUUUUUUUUUUUAAGAUUAAUUUAUUUUAUUUUAUUUUUUUUAAGAUUUUAUUUAUUUAUUUGACAGAGAGAGACGCAGUGAGAGAGGGAACACAAGCGGGGGAGUGGGAGGGGGGAAGCAGUCUUCCCGCAGAGCAGGGAGCCCAGUGCGGGGCUCGAUCCCAGGGUUCUGGGAUCAUGACCUGAGCCGAAGGCAGACACUUAACCACUGAGCCACCCAGGUGCCCCAAGAUUGAUUUAUUUAUUUGAGAGAGAGAGUGUGUGGUGAGUGGGGGUAGGGGCUGAGGGAGAAUGUGAGAGAAUCCCAAGGAGACUCCCCGCUGAGCGCGAAGCCCACGCAGGACUCAAUCCCACGACCCAUGAGAUCAUGACCUGAGCUGGAAUCAAGAGUUGAACGCUCAACUGACUGAGCCACCCAGGCGCCGCUGGGAACCCAAAGUCCCUCCAAUGGGUGACACUGUCAAAUCGAGGGAUACUUCACUGAGAAUGGAGAAGGAAAAUAGUGAUGUGUCCUUGUUGAUCACACUGCAUCCAGACAAAUCCCAGUGCACAUCUCUCAGUGGGGCUCAUCCUGUUGGUGGAUGAGCUGCCACCCAACGAGGGUGACACACCUGACUACACCCACGGGUUCCUGAGAACAGCAGUAAGGUGCUGAUCCUACAGAUCAGAGGAAAUAGAAGGAGCCCCUCCUCACCCUCCCACCUGCUGCAGGAAGUCUCAAAGGUUUGUUGCACAAGCGAUUUGACCUGUGGUCUCCCUGGCUCCCUUGUGGUUUCAGAUAUUUCCAUGGCCCUGUGGCUCUUGAGAUGGGCACAGUCAUGAAGGUAGUACCUCAUUCCUCACUUGUAGUCUGUCUUCCAACCUCCUUGAGCAGUUUCCCACAUAUGUCUGGGUGAUGUGGCCCCAUGUUAUGAUUUACCAGCACUAUCGUGUCUUUUCCCUGGGAAUGAGCAGAAGUUCCUGAGGAUCGGGCUGAGAACAAUCCAGCUGCAUUCAAACUCACCUUUUCCUAUAGAAGGCCUGUGCUUGUCGCUUUAUCGUGCAUAUAAGCUAGCAUAGACCUUCUUUCAUUGGGUUAAAUUCUUUAAACCAGUGGUCUUCAAAAUUCUGUAAAACUCUAUGUCUUUGCACAUUUGCAAGUUAACAUCUGAACACGUACAAAUAAUAUAUUUUACAUUAUCUUCAUGCUUUAAAAUCUUUUCCUCAAAAUCUGGUAGUUGCUGAUUUCCCUUAUUCCGAUCAGACAUUGUUCCUAAAGUGAGAGCAAAUUAUUUUUUCUCCACAUCCUCGCCAACACUUGUUUCUUGUAUUUUUUUUUUUUAAAGAUUUUAUUUAUUUAUUUGACAGAGAAAGACACAGUGAGAGAGGGAACACAAGCAGGGGGAGUGGGAGAGGGAGAAGCAGACUCCCUGCCGAGCAGGGAGCCCGAUGCGGGACUCGAUCCAGGGACUCCAGGAUCAUGACCUGAGCCGAAGGCAGUCGCUUAACCAACUGAGCCACCCAGGCGCCCUCUUGUAUUUUUUAUUUUAGCCAUUCUGACAGGUAUGAGGUGAUAUCUCAUUGUAGUUUUGAUUUACAUUUCCCUGAUGCUGAGUGAUGUUGAGCAUCUUUUCAUGUGUCAGCCAUCUGUUGGUCUUCUUUGGAGAAAUGUCUGUUCAUGUCUUCUGCCCAUUUUUAAAUUGGAUUAUUAAUUAUCUUGGUGUUGAGUUGCAUAAGUUCUUUAUGUAUUUUGGAUAUUAACUGCUUACUAGAUAUGUUGUUUGCAAAUAUCUUCUCUCCCAUUCAGUACAUUUUUGUUUUGUUGAUUGUUUCCUUUUCUGUGCAGAAGCUUUUUAUUUUGAUGUAGUCCCAAUUGUUUAUUUUUGCUUUUGUUUCCCUCGCUUCAGGAGACAUAUCUAGAAAAAUGUUGCUACAGCCAAUGUCAGAGAAAUUACUGCCUGUGUUCUUCUCUAGGAUUUUUAGGGUUUCAAGUCUCACAUUUAGGCCUUUAAUCCAUUUUGAGCUUAUUUUUGUGUAUGGUGUAAGAAAGUGGUCCAGUUUCAUUCUUUUGCAGGUAGCUGUGCAGUUUUCCCAACACCAUUUGUUGAAAAGACUGUCUUUUUCCCAUUGCAUAUUCUUGAGUGCCUGGCAACUUAUUGGUCCCCAGUAGACAUUUGUUGAAUGAGUGAAAGAAAUGAAGUGUCUGCCUUUGGUUACUGAGUUCCCUUUGACAAGUUUAGAAAUGAAAACUUUGAAUAGUUUCAACAUCCCUCUGAACAUAAUGAUUGGCUUGGUGGACUCUUCAUCUUGCCCCCUUUUUGCAAACCACAUUGGCAAACAGAGCACAGGCUAGGAUUCCUGCCCUCACUGAAGUUACAUUAGAAUCUGGGUGUUGAGGGGCACCUGAGUGGCCCAGUCAGUUAAGCAUCUGACUCUUGAUUUUGGCUCAGGUCAUGAUCUCAGGGUCGAGAGAUCGAGCCCCGAGUCGGGCACCAUGCUCAGCGGGUAGUCUGGUUGGGAUUCCCUCUCUCCCUCUCCCUCUGCCCCUCCCCCUGCUCUCUCUCACUCUCCCUGUCUCUCUCUCUUAAAUAAAUAAUCUUUUUUUUAUAUAAGAUUUUGUUUAUUUAUUCGACAGAGAGAGACACAGCGAGAGAGGGAACACAAGCAGGGGAAUGGGAGAGGGAGAAGCAGGCUCCCUGCUCCACGGGGCUCAAUCCCAGGAUUCUGGGACCAUGACCCGAGCCGAAGGCAGACGCUCAAUGAAAAAGUAAUCUUUUUUUUUUUAAAAAGAACCUCGGUGCUGAAAUGUAAUAGGGUUAAGUAGCAGAUGUCACUCAUGUUUCUCUAGUCAUAUUUCUAUUAUACAUCUCCUUACAGGUUUUUAAGAAUGCCUUUGCAAUUAUAGAUAUAUAUGGUCAUGGAACCCAGUCCUGCAAGAAACCAAGCAGCUGUCAGUGUGGGAUCUGCUGAUGUGCUUUGAGAACAUGUAUGUGUGUAUAUAAUUUCUUGCUCCUUCUUUUCCGUGGAGCCCUCUGGAGUCAGAGCUCAGGGACAAUGAGAUCGUCAGUGUUUGCUGAUAGAUCAAGGCCAAGGAAUUCAGUUUAUAGUGUAUAGUGUGUGAAAUCUCAGGAUGGUAGGAGCACAGCUUCCCUGAAAGAAGAAAAUAUUAUGUAUUUUGAAAUAGUUUGAUGUGUUAGAUUUAUAUUUAUGUCAUUUUUCAUUGGCUCUUUUCAAAGCCAUAUCACUCAAGUCAUUUCAAUGUAUUGAAAAUGUGUGUUGUUAAAAAAAAAAAAAUUUCUUUCCUGAAGGAAAAGCUAUAUCCACAAUAGCAGCCUUUCAGUUUUUGGUUUUGUGUCAAGUUCAACCCUAUAAACAAGUUCUAUGCAAGUGAAAAUGCAGACAGAACUUUCCUCCCAAUGGUUCAUCCCUAAAGGUAAGUCCCUUUGGGACAGCCCAACUAGGUGCUAGCUCUUAGCUUCCUCUUUAGGUGUAUGUGCUCUGUGAGAUCCUGGAUCCCGUAGCUGAUCCACAGUAGAUAGUGGGGCACACCAGGAAUCUGAGCCAUGCAGGUGCAUAUCCUGAACCCAAGCAAGGAGGAUUUCUGCAGGACAUUGUUGUGCUUAUAAUUAAUCAAAGUUAAUGAUUCAGUUUUACAUUUCAAAUUUGCAUUUAUAUUAGUCAAGCAAAGAAUCCCUCGUGAAACACUAACUUUAGGGCUCCUUACCUCUUUGCCUGUGUUGUUGUCCUUGUGUCCUGACUGGUAUAUCUGCUUCUGUUCUCAGGGAACUUGAACACUGAUUAGAAUCACAGAUAAAAUACAGAAGGCCCUGUUAAAUGUAAUUUCCAGAGAAGCAAAAUAAUUUUUUUUUUGGUAAAUGUUGUGUCCCAAAAGAUGUAGUGUAUUUUGCCCCCAAAUAUUACAUGGCAUCACUAUGAGGUAUGAUGGGAUUACUUGUCAUGAAAUCUUCAACAAUUUUUUUUAAAUCUAUCGGUGCUGACCAGUUCCAGAUCUCAGUAUCUGGUCUUAUCAUGUGCUCUAAACUAAGUAUCUCCACUGUGAUGGCUUGCAGGUAGUAUGUUGAAAUCUAAGCUCAUUAUCUUCUCUACCCAUAAUCUCAAUUUCAGCCAUCCAUCCUGUUGCUGAACUGCCCUGGACCAUUCAUUUACCCCUAGAACCCAUUAGACAGGCGGUAACCAAAUCAUUUCUGGCUCCUGGGAAACAGCUUCUCAAUGAAAAUGAAAAAGCCAUUCCUUGGAAGAGAUUUACCUCCAGCAGGAGGUGGCCUGAAUGAAGAUUGUGUUGCCAUUUAAGGGCUGGCUGAUAUCAUAAUCUGCCUUAGAAGCGAUAUCAGUACUGAUUAUUUUAAGCUCAUUGAAGUCUUUAGGAGUCUGUAUUUUUCAUUAGUGCAUGGGCUGAAGACUGUUUUUCUCAUUAUAUGAGUGAAGACUGACUGUACCUAGAAAAGCAACAAACAUCCCUUUGGAGACUUUCUCCUAAGAGAGGAGAUUUAUCCAUUCACUUGUCAGAGAGAGAGAGCGCACAAGCAGGGGGAACAGCAGGCAGAGGGAGAAGCAGGCUCCCCACCGAGCAAGGAGCCUGACAUGAGACUCAAUCCCAGGACCCUGGGAUCAUGACCCAAGCCGAAGGCAAACGCUUAACCGACUGAGCCACCCAGGCGUCCCUUCAUUCUCAUCUUCUUCUUGACCUUAAAGGAAAAGCUCUCAGUUUUUCACCAUCGAGUAUGACGUAGCUAUGGGUUUUUCAUAUAUUAUGUUGAGG